GAUGAACGCUGGCGGCGUGCCUAAUACAUGCAAGUCGAGCGAACGGACGAGAAGCUUGCUUCUCUGAUGUUAGCGGCGGACGGGUGAGUAACACGUGGAUAACCUACCUAUAAGACUGGGAUAACUUCGGGAAACCGGAGCUAAUACCGGAUGAUAUUUUGAACCGCAUGGUUCAAAGGUGAAAGACGGUCUUGCUGUCACUUAUAGAUGGAUCCGCGCUGCAUUAGCUAGUUGGUAAGGUAACGGCUUACCAAGGCAACGAUGCAUAGCCGACCUGAGAGGGUGAUCGGCCACACGGGAACUGAGACACGGUCCAGACUCCUACGGGAGGCAGCAGUAGGGAAUCUUCCGCGAUGGGCGAAAGCCUGACGGAGCAACGUCGCGUGAGUGAUGAAGGUCUUCGGAUCGUAAAACUCUGUUAUUAGGGAAGAACAUAUGUGUAAGUAACUGUGCACAUCUUGACGGUACCUAAUCAGAAAGCCACGGCUAACUACGUG
rnacentral:rRNA from 1 species